rnacentral:rRNA from 1 species
UAGUAAAAUGUAUAUGAGAUUAACUAAGUUAAUUAAAAUUCUAUGUAGAUAUGUGAUAAUGACAAUAUCUGCUUAAGUCUUGACCAAGUCACGUGCCAGCAGUCGCGGUAAUACGUGGAAGACAAGUGUUAUUCAUCUUUAAUAGGUAUAAAGGGUACCUAGACGGUUAAUUAAGCAUAAUAUGUACUAAUUAACUAGAGUUUAAUGUAAGAAGGAUUGAGUACGGUGAGUGGAGAGAUAAAAUUCAUUCUUAGGAACUGGUAAAGGCGAAGGCAACCUUCUAUGUAAAAAACUGACGUUAAGGGACGAAGGCUCAUGUAAAAUAAUAGGAUUAGAUACCCUAGUAUUGUGGGCAGUAAAUGAUGAGUGUCAUAUACAAGGAUGUGUAUAAAUGAAAGUGUAAGCACUCCACCUCAAGAGUAACGUGGCAACAUGGGAACUGAAAUCAUUAGACCGUUUCUGAAACUCGUAGUGAAGUAUGUUGUUUAAUUUGAUGGUCCACAAAUAACCUUACCACACAAGUGUUGCACGGCUGUCUUCAGUCAAUGUUGUGAAACUUUGGUUAGAUCCAUUAAAUUGACGUAAACCCUUACUUUAAAGUAGUUCGCCAUUGGUAGUGAUAUAAGGGACUAGGACAAGUCAUCAUGACCUAAACA